UUUCUAAUCCAUAUUCUUCUUUAACGAUCGGUUUGUUCACUGACACGAUUACCGACCAAGUAUAAAUAAGCUUGCGAAAUUUCAUUUCGAUACAGUCAAAACAUAGACAGAAACAUGAGAACUACAAGAAUCGUGCUUAACGUUGCGCUCACUUUGGCGAUCGCUACCAUUUCUCUUAUGUGCGCCACUGCUACAGCCGAACCUACUCCAGAUGCGGACCCUAUAAGUACAGCAGCUCUUAAAUCUCUCGCUGGAAAAUAAAUGGUGUGCGAGAUGAAUCCUACGAAUGCGAAGUAAAUUUAGGGUUAUGUAGUUGCAAGUUUAUAAUUCAACUGUGAAAUAUAUGAAAUAAAGAUAUAGGAUGCGAAAGA
rnacentral:lncRNA from 1 species